rnacentral:rRNA from 1 species
GACGAACGCUGGCGGCGUGCUUAACACAUGCAAGUCGAACGGAAAGGCCCUGCUUUUGUGGGGUGUUCGAGUGGCGAACGGGUGAGUAACACGUGAGUAACCUGCCCUUGACUUUGGGAUAACUUCAGGAAACUGGGGCUAAUACCGGAUAGGAGCUCCUGCUGCAUGGUGGGGGUUGGAAAGUUUCGGCGGUUGGGGAUGGACUCGCGGCUUAUCAGCUUGUUGGUGGGGUAGUGGCUUACCAAGGCUUUGACGGGUAGCCGGCCUGAGAGGGUGACCGGCCACAUUGGGACUGAGAUACGGCCCAGACUCCUACGGGAGGCAGCAGUGGGGAAUAUUGCACAAUGGGCGGAAGCCUGAUGCAGCAACGCCACGUGCGGGAUGACGGCCUUCGGGUUGUAAACCGCUUUCGCCUGUGACGAAGCGUGAGUGACGGUAAUGGGUAAAGAAGCACCGGCUAACUACGUG